CUACGGGAGGCAGCAGUGGGGAAUUUUGGACAAUGGGGGCAACCCUGAUCCAGCCAUGCCGCGUGAGUGAAGAAGGCUUCGGGUUGUAAAGCUCUUUCAGCCGGAACGAAACGGUUACGGUUAAUACCCGUGACUACUGACGGUACGGAAGAA
rnacentral:rRNA from 2 species